GAUGAACGCUGGCGGCGUGCUUAACACAUGCAAGUCGAACGAAGCACUUUAUUUGAUUUCCUUCGGGACUGAUUAUUUUGUGACUGAGUGGCGGACGGGUGAGUAACGCGUGGGUAACCUGCCUUGUACAGGGGGAUAACAGUUGGAAACGGCUGCUAAUACCGCAUAAGCGUCCGGCAUCGCAUGAUGCAGUGUGAAAACCUCCGGUGGUAUAAGAUGGACCGGCGUUGGAUUAGAUAGUUGGUGAGUUAACGGCCCACCAGGGCGAGGAUCCAUAGCCGAGAAGUGAGAGUGAGCGGCCACAUUGGCACUGAGACACGGCCCAGACUCCUACGGGAGGCAGCAGUGGGGAAUAGUGCACAAUGGGGGAAAGCAUGAUGGAGCGAGGCCGCGUAAGCGAAGAAGUAUGGCGGUAUGUAAAGCUCUAUCAGCAGGGAAGAUAAUGACGGUACCUGACUAAGAAGCACCGGCUAAAUACGUG
rnacentral:rRNA from 1 species